AACGCAGCGAAAUGCGAUAAGUAAUGUGAAUUGCAGAAUUCAGUGAAUCAUCGAAUCUUUGAACGCACAUUGCGCCCGCCAGUAUUCUGGCGGGCAUGCCUGUUCGAGCGUCAUUUCAACCCUCAGCGCUUCGGCCUGGUGUUGGGGUGCUGCCUCCUCGUGAGGCACGCCCCUAAAUUCAUUGGCGAGCCCGCCGGUCUCCCGAGCGCAGUAAUUACACCUCGCUCCGGGCGGACCGGUGCGGCCCGGCCGUUAAACCCCAACUCUUUAUGGUUGACCUCGGAUCAGGUAGGAAUACCCGCUGAACUUAAGCAUAUCAAUAAGCGGAGGAAAAGAAACCAACAGGGAUUGCCCCAGUAACGGCGAGUGAAGCGGCAACAGCUCAAAUUUGAAAUCUGGCCUCGGCCCGAGUUGUAAUUUGCAGAGGAUGCCUUUGGCGCGGUGCCUUCCGAGUUCCCUGGAACGGGACGCCACAGAGGGUGAGAGCCCCGUAUGGUCGGACACCAAGCCUUUGUAAGGCUCCUUCGACGAGUCGAGUAGUUUGGGAAUGCUGCUCAAAAUGGGAGGUAAAUCUCUUCUAAAGCUAAAUAUUGGCCAGAGACCGAUAGCGCACAAGUAGAGUGAUCGAAAGAUGAAAAGCACCUUGAAAAGGGGGUUAAACAGUACGUGAAAUUGUUGAAAGGGAAGGGCUCGUGACCAGACUUGUGCCAGGCGGCUCAUCCGGCGUUCUCGUCGGUGCACUCCGCCUGGCUCAGGCCAGCAUCGGUUCUUGCCGGGGGAUAAGAGCUCCGGGAACGUGGCCCCCUUCGGGGGGUGUUAUAGCCCGUUGCACGAUGCCCUGGCGGGGACCGAGGUUCGCGCUCCGCAAGGAUGCUGGCGUAAUGGUCACCAACCACCCGUCUUGAAACACGGACCAAGGAGUCGUCCAUCAGAGCGAGCGUUUGGGUGUCAAACCCGCACGCGUAAUGAAAGUGAACGCAGGUGAGAGCUUCGGCGCAUCAUCGACCGAUCCUGAUGUCUUCGGAUGGAUUUGAGUAAGAGUUUUGCUGGACGGACCCGAAAGACAGUGAACUAUGCUUGUAUAGGGUGAAGCCAGAGGAAACUCUGGUGGAGGCUCGCAGCGGUUCUGACGUGCAAAUCGAUCGUCAAAUAUGAGCAUGGGGGCGAAAGACUAAUCGAACUGUCUAGUAGCUGGUUACCGC
rnacentral:rRNA from 1 species